UACGAAGGGUGCUAGCGUUGUUCGGAAUCACUGGGCGUAAAGCGUGCGUAGGCGGCUUUGUAAGUUAAUUGUGAAAUCCCCAAGCUCAACUUGGGAACUGCAAUUAAAACUGCUUAGCUAGAGUAAGGUAGGGGACAGUAGAAUUCCUAGUGUAGGGGUGAAAUCCGUAGAUACUAGGAGGAAUACCAGAAGCGAAGGCGACUGUCUGGGCCUUUACUGACGCUGAGGUACGAAAGCGUGGGGAGCAAACAGG
rnacentral:rRNA from 1 species